GGAGGGUGCAAGCGUUAAUCGGAAUUACUGGGCGUAAAGGGUGCGUAGGUGGUUUAUUAAGGUUGUCUGUGAAAUACCCGGGGCUUAACCUGGGGGAGGGUCAGAUAAGACUGGUAGACUUGAGUAUGGGAGAGGGUAGUGGAAUUUCCGGUGUAGCGGUGAAAUGCGUAGAUAUCGGAAGGAACACCAGUGGCGAAGGCGACUACCUGGCCUGAUACUGACACUGAGGCACGAAAGCGUGGGGAGCAAACAGGAUUAGAUACCCUGGUAGUCCACGCUGUAAACGAUGUCAACUAGCCGUUGGUCACAUGAAAGUGAUUAGUGGCGCAGCCAACGCGAUAAGUUGACCGCCUGGGGAGUACGGUCGCAAAGAUUAA
rnacentral:rRNA from 1 species